GACGAACGCUGGCGGCGUGCUUAACACAUGCAAGUCGAACGGAAAGGCCCUGCUCUUGUGGGGUGCUCGAGUGGCAAACGGGUGAGUAACACGUGAGUAACCUGCCCUUGACUUUGGGAUAACUUCAGGAAACUGUGGCUAAUACCGGAUAGGAGCUCCUGCUGCAUGGUGGGGGUUGGAAAGUUUCGGCGGUUGGGGAUGGACUCGCGGCUUAUCAGCUUGUUGGUGGGGUAGUGGCUUACCAAGGCUUUGACGGGUAGCCGGCCUGGGAGGGUGACCGCGCACAUUGGGACUGAGGUACGGCCCAGACGCCUAUGGGAGGCAGCAGUGGGGAGUAUUGCACAGUGGGCGGGAGUGUGAGGCGGAAGCGCCGCGGGCGGAAUGACGGCCUUGGGGUUGUAAACCGCUUUCGCCUGUGACGAAGCGUGAGUGACGGUAAUGGGUAAAGAAGCACCGGCUAACUACAUG
rnacentral:rRNA from 1 species